UACGGAGGGUGCAAGCGUUAAUCGGAAUUACUGGGCGUAAAGCGUGCGCAGGCGGUUCGUUGUGUCUGAUGUGAAAGCCCCGGGCUCAACCUGGGAAUGGCAUUGGAAACUGGCGAGCUGGAGUGUGGCAGAGGGGGGUGGAAUUCCGCGUGUAGCAGUGAAAUGCGUAGAGAUGCGGAGGAACACCGAUGGCGAAGGCAGCCCCCUGGGCCAACACUGACGCUCAGGCACGAAAGCGUGGGGAGCAAACAGG
rnacentral:rRNA from 1 species